GGUAUUUAUUCUUCGGAAUAGAGAGAGCGGCGUACGGGUGCGGAACACGUGUGCAACCUGCCUUUAUCAGGGGGAUAGCCUUUCGAAAGGAAGAUUAAUACCCCAUAAUAUAUUGACUGGCAUCAUUUGAUAUUGAAAACUCCGGUGGAUAGAGAUGGGCACGCGCAAGAUUAGAUAGUUGGUAGGGUAACGGCCUACCAAGUCAGUGAUCUUUAGGGGGCCUGAGAGGGUGAUCCCCCACACUGGUACUGAGACACGGACCAGACUCCUACGGGAGGCAGCAGUGAGGAAUAUUGGACAAUGGGUGAGAGCCUGAUCCAGCCAUCCCGCGUGAAGGACGACGGCCCUAUGGGUUGUAAACUUCUUUUGUAUAGGGAUAAACCUUUCCACGUGUGGAAAGCUGAAGGUACUAUACGAAUAAGCACCGGCUAACUCCGUGCCAGCAGCCGCGGUAAUACGGAGGGUGCAAGCGUUAUCCGGAUUUAUUGGGUUUAAAGGGUCCGUAGGCGGAUCUGUAAGUCAGUGGUGAAAUCUCAUAGCUUAACUAUGAAACUGCCAUUGAUACUGCAG
rnacentral:rRNA from 1 species